AUAAUGGGUCAGCGACUUAUAUUCUGUAGCAAGGUUAACCGAAUAGGGGAGCCGAAGGGAAACCGAGUCUUAACUGGGCGUUAAGUUGCAGGGUAUAGACCCGAAACCCGGUGAUCUAGCCAUGGGCAGGUUGAAGGUUGGGUAACACUAACUGGAGGACCGAACCGACUAAUGUUGAAAAAUUAGCGGAUGACUUGUGGCUGGGGGUGAAAGGCCAAUCAAACCGGGAGAUAGCUGGUUCUCCCCGAAAGCUAUUUAGGUAGCGCCUCGUGAAUUCAUCUCCGGGGGUAGAGCACUGUUUCGGCAAGGGGGUCAUCCCGACUUACCAACCCGAUGCAAACUGCGAAUACCGGAGAAUGUUAUCACGGGAGACACACGGCGGGUGCUAACGUCCGUCGUG
rnacentral:rRNA from 1 species